GACAGAGGGAGCCCGACUCCCGUGCCUCUGGCAUGAGGAAAGUCCCCCCACCGGCCGGACAGGCGACCGGGCACACGCCCGGAGUCGGAGACGGCUGGCUCUGGAACAGCAACGACACCCCCCACCCCGACCCGUGAUUCGCGCGAUCGCUUCGGCGAUCGCGGCGGCCGCGGGAUCACCCGCGACCGCGCGAACCGACCCGCAAGGGAAGGGAGUUAACCCGAUGAGGAUCGACGGGUGGGAACGGAUGGAACGGCGAAUCCUCGCCGGUGCAAGUCCGCGCCACAAGGUAGUCCGGCCACGGCGCGGACGCUUAGCCGAAUGUCGGGAUGAACCGAAGGGGGCUUACUCCCCUCAGUC
rnacentral:RNase_P_RNA from 23 species